rnacentral:rRNA from 1 species
UCCAUGAGUAAAGUGGCGCAUGGGUGAGUAACACGUGACUAACCUACCCUUGAGUGGGGAAUAACUGAGGGAAACCUUAGCUAAUACCGCAUAAUACCUACGGGUCAAAGGAGCAAUUCGCUUAAGGAGGGGGUCGCGGCAGAUUAGUUAGUUGGCGGGGUAAUGGCCCACCAAGACAGUGAUCUGUAUCCGGCCUGAGAGGGCGCACGGACACACUGGAACUGAAACACGGUCCAG